UUUUGGGGGUUAAGCUAGCUGGGCGGCAGGACACAGCCUGCAUCUCCUACAACAGAACCCUACCAGUGGCCACGUCCUCAAAGGAGAACCUCACUUCUCCAGCACCUAUCAACUGCCGUUAGGUCCUCGAUGUUAUGGCCGCUCUCACCAGAAGGUGGCGCUGUUUCUCAAGGAACGGGGAGGAAGCCCGUAAACUGGCUAUGAGUUCAUUUCAGUGUGUGAAAUGACUGUAACAGGAGGUGGCUCCAUCAUCCUUUCAUUUUCCUGGCAAAACGUGGAGAUCCAAAGACCAAGAGGUAAAGUUAAAACACUUGUGUAAAGACACACGCGGUGGUUACAGACUUUAGAAGGGGCUCACGGGAGACAGAAGCGGCUCUCAGGCAGUCAGCCAUCUUUGACCUCGCUCUUCAGAGUGAAGCCACUAGGAAUGGACAGAGCUAGUGCCAUUCCACAGGAGAUGGGGAGCACUGUGGAGUCAGGAAUGGCUCUGCUUUCUCUUGUGGAGCUGGAAUGCAGUCAGCGUGGCCUGGAGGCUGUGUCUUAGAGAGUCCCAGCUCAGCAGAAGUGUAGGAUUUGCCUCUGCAUGACACUGGAAGCCCUUCUGGAGAUGCUGGUCACACUGCAGACAUCACUGCAGGCCUGGGUUCAUCCCAUUCCUUGUGCUUGUGUUGUUUCCCUUCAGAGCUAAGGGAGAUUUGUGAGAACGGAUCGUUUCUGGAAUAGGUUUUCAGUAUGUACAUUGCGGCAUUUGGGAUAUAUGUAUGCCAAGAAAGUCACUGUUGUGUGUUCUCUUCCCUAUCUGGUGAACUCUCCUCUGGUGUGGCCAGGGCUUCUAGACUAGGCUCUGCAAUGGAAAUGUUCUCAGAGGGAGAACCAUUUCUUUCCCUUCUUGGUGGCCACAAGAGGGAGGGGCUCAGUGCUGGUGGCCACUGCGGCCUUGUUACCUUUCUCCUUAGAGAUGCCUGGAUUCUGUUGAUGUGCGCCCACCUUCUCUACUUCUAAAUAAGCAACCUUGGAAAGGCUUUUCUAGUGACCAGCACACAGCUGGGAAGCCCUCCGGGUGCUCACAGUAAGGCAGGGGGGUCACAUGUAGCUCGCCCUGCAAAGCCCUGCAUACUGAGCUUACAGUCAAGCCAUGCACCUCCCAAAUAUAAAUGGGAGAAGGCCCUGCUCCUCUUCUGCAUUACUGAUUAUUAUCUAAUAUUACUUUGUGAGUGUGAAGAUUGAAGUCAGGGCCUCACUCUGCCAGGCGAGAGCUCCACCACUAAGCUGUGUCCAGGACCCUCCUUUGCUAUGUUUCCUUUUAAACCACACCUAAAGCAAGAUAGUGACGACAGAAAGAACACAUGUCAGAAAGAACAGGUGCCGGUAAGAACAUGUGUCACGCCCGUUUGGGGGAAUUACCUCUUAUAACUCCCAAGCGCAACAGAUUGCUCUACAACACCAGGUCUUCGUGUUUUCUGAUCAGAGAAAUGGCGGUCUUGCCACACUGGACUUAGCCGAAGUUGCCUUGUAGGUCGGGCCGCCAUCUUCCCUUCUGCUCCCCAACACCUGCGGUGACAGCUUAUAAAGUACCAGUGACUGCAAACAACUUAUGCUGGAGAGGGUGUGGGAAAGGGAACACUUCUGCAUUGCUGGUGGGAGUGCAGGCUGG